GGACUUUGUAUGUCAUACAAUGGAUCCAUGGAGGCAGAAGAAAACGGGAAAAACUCAAAUCCCAUUGAGGUUUUUGAAAUGCAGAAAAUGGACACAUGGCCUAUUUGAAUUAUGGAAUUCCUGUUUGAUAAUGCCCAUUGCUUGUAACUAGUUGGUCAAAAUUAGAUUUCACAGAAACAUUAUGUCUUGAUUACAAUAUUAGAAUUCUACAGCAAGACACACAAUGUGAUUUGAAGUCCACAAACUCCCUGACUGUCAGACUGAAUUUCUGUAAGCCAUACUUAUUUAGCUUUUAGAAAAACAGAAAACUUGGCAGAACUCUUCUGGCCGGGAUGAAGCAGAGUGGGAAUAACCAUAUCAGAUUUAAAUUGGAGAUGGUAGAAUGCUGCCACUUUUUUCAAACUAAUCAAGGUGAAAGGCCAACAUACACCAGUGACUAACAGGAAGGAUUUGGGACAUGGCUUUGGGCUCCUCCAGCGUUCAACAUGGUAUUCUGAUUCCUGCUCUCAAGAUUGGUGAAGAAACAAUAUUUUUAAAAAAGUCGUCGUCAUUUUAUGUUUGCUACUUACUGAACUCAAAACAGUAUGGUUUGCAUUAGCAGGACUUCUACAAAUUGUGUGGAAGGGAUUUAAAACAGUUCUGUAGUCUGUAUGAAAAAUGAGCCUGCGAUUCCUGACUCCUCAGAGUUCCUUGUAGGAGUCCUGGUGUAAAGUGAUCUUUCACAUGCCUGAUUGGAACUGUGAGCCAAGCAACAUCUGC
rnacentral:lncRNA from 1 species